UUAAAGCACAACCAUUGAAUGACCUUUGGGUUGCUUUGCUUGAUUCAUAAGAAGAGUACCAUUAUUAAAUCAUUAUGAUUGUCACUUAUUGGGUUCGAUUAAGGAGAGUCAUGACAUUGCCUUUUGAACCACGUGAAUUAUGGGCCUUGUUGGUGGAACAAUAUUUUUUUUUUAAGUCUGAUAGAGAGACAGAGAAAGAGAUAUGAAGGAAUUUGAGUGCGUAACCACUAACCAUGGGGAUCGUAACUCAAAUUUCUUCACGCUUCCACUGUUGUUCGUAGAAAGAGAAUUCUCAUAUGGAAUGUUAAAGACUUGGAUGGUAGCUAGUUGUCGUCUAGAAAGGAGAUAAGAGAGUACUUCAACUCAAAUUUUCAUAACUUAUUUUCCUCCACUAAUCUUGUCAUUUCAGAUGACCCUGAUACUCUAUUUGAAGAUAAGGUGUCUUUUGAGGAGAAUAUACUACUGAUGGAAAUCCCUUCCUAGGAAUGUAUAAAGGAAGUUGUUUGGAGCAUUAACACAGAUAGUGCCACGGGUCCUAAUGGGAUGAUUGGUGCUUUCUACAAACAGAAUUGGAGAGUGGUUGGGCCUUCGAUUAUUGAUUUUGUUCAGGAAGUAUUUCAUUCGGGAAGAUUUGUUAGAAGUUUAAAUCACUCAUUUAUAUGCCUUAUUCUGAAGAUUUCUGAUGCUUUCUCCUUCGACCAUUUCAGGCCACUUAGCCUAAGUAAUUUUUCUUACAAGACUCUGACAAAAAUUUUGUCUAACAGAUUAAGAUUGAUUAUGGAUAGAAUUGUUGGUCCCUAUCAAGCCGUUUUCAUUCCUGGUAGAUGGAUUGGGGAAUGUUCUAUUUUGGGUCAGCAAGUCAUGCAUUCGAUCAAAAGAAAGAGAGGCAGUGGUGGUUUAAUGGCGAUAAAGACUGACAUGAGCAAAGCAUAUGAUUGGAUUGAAUGGGAGUUUCUAAGAAGAGCCUUGAUUGCGAAUGGUUUUCAUGAUAGAGCAGUCAACCUUGUUGUGUUAUGUGUCUCCUCAGUUACUUACUCUGUUUUACUCAAUGGAUCCCUUCUCAAAGCAAUCACUCCUAGCAGAGGUCUCAGGCAAGGAGACCCUAUGUCACAUUUUCUUUUCCUUCUAUGUAGUGAGGUUCCUUUUAAACUUUUGUUGCAAGUGGAGCGAAGAGAUUUGAUUCAUGUGGUUAAAAUUUAUGCAAACAAUGAGGUGGUGUCGCAUUUUAUGUUUGCAGAUGACUUUUUUUUUUUCUUUUGUAGAGCAAAUCCCAAGGAGUGGGAAAAUUUACAAGCAAUUUUUUUGAAAUAAGAAACUUGGUCUAGGAAAAAGAUUAAUUUAAGUAAAUCUUCUAUGUUUUUUUCUCCAAACAUGAAUAGAAGAACUCGGGAAAGACUUUUGGAGAAGAUGCGGAUGAAAGAACUCAAAAAGGAGGACCUUUAUUUGGGAAGCCCUAUCUUUCUGUCAAGACAAAAAUGUGCAGACUUUGAUUCUUUAAAGGAAAAGUUGAGAAUUUCAUUGGAAGGGUGGUGUAAUAGGUUGUUAUCAAGGGCUGGAAGAACUACGCUUAUCAAAUCGGUUGCUAUGGCUAUUCCUAGUUACACAUGGCUGCCUAUGAAAUUUCCAAAAAAACUUGUCGUCCGAUGGAUUCUAUGAUGUGAAAGUUUAGGUGGGUUGGAGGCACUGACAAGGAGAGGUUUUUGUCACUCAAAUCCUGGGAUUACUUGUGUCAACCUAAGUCAAGUGGUGGUCUGGGGUUCAGAAGAUUUGAGGAUGCAAAUAGAGCUUUCAUAGCUAAAUCAUCUUGGUUUGUGGCUUCUAAAAUUAAUAGACCAUGGGUGGAGAUGUUGUUGCUUAAAUAUUGCAGAAAUAAAUCAUUUUGGGAAACUCGGGAUACUAGUUCUAACUCUUCGAUUUGGAGAUCUAUAAUUCAUACUAGAGGCUUGAUGCUUAAGGGGUGCCUUUUUCAGGUUGGAUCAGGAAACUCAAUUUCUAUUUGGUAUCAUCCGUGGGUGCCUCAGCUAGAGGAUUAUUCUCUGCAAUUUCAUAAGAAUCCAGCAGCGUUAUCACAAGAAGCUUACAAAUUCAAGAUGCCUCAAAUUUCUUUGUUGAUAGCUAGCAUUAAAGUUCUUCCAUUGUCAUUGGAGGAUAAGUGUAUUUGGACUGCUACAAAAAAUGUCAAGUUCAAUAUAAAGAGUGCAUACUAUUUGGAUCAAGAGUUGAGAUUCAAUGAGAAAGUGGAGAUGUAGAACAAGUUGUGGUCUUGCAAAUCUAUUGAGAGACACAAAUUACUGAUGUGGUGCAUAGCAAAUGAUGCUCUGCCAUCUGUUGCAAAGCUAAGUUUUCUACAUUCUAGCUUAGUAAAAGUCUGUUGCAUCUUAUGCAAUAAUGUUGAGGAAUCAAUUAUUCAUUUCUUCAAUAAUUGUCUUGCAACUAGAGCUAUUUGGUUAGCUUCUCCUUGGGGCAUUAGAAGUGAUGCAGUAGAUGCAGAUUUAGGUCUAAAAUUAAUUGAAUGGUUAACUGAGCAAGAUUCUAGAGCUAAUUUCAUAGGAAUUUUGCCUUUUGCAGCUUGUGUUUUUAAGAAUAUUUGGUCAGUAGGGAAUGAUAUCUAUUUUAAUGGAGGGUCUUUUGACAUAUACAAAGUGAUUGCAAAAGCUCUAUCUGAUUUUUCAGGAGUUUCAAUCAUCUCUGGAGAAUGAUCACAGUGAAGAUGGCACAAGCAAAGGUCAUUGUCAAAGAUAGAAACCAAAUAUCAGGAACAUGGAUACAGGUUUUGUGAAUGCUUCCUACGGAAACAAUUUGGCUGGCUCAUGAAUCAUUUUGUUUGAAUCGCCCGCUUGGGGGGAUCCAUUGAUUUAUGCCCAUUCAUUUAUGGCCUCAAGUGCUCUUGAAGCAGAAACAAAAUCUCUAAUCCAAGCUUGUCAAAUAGGAAAAAGCAAGUAGUUGUCUAGAUUGUAAAUUGUUAGUGACCGCAAGCUCCUUGUGGAUUUUCUGAAUGAAGAAGGGGACUCUCCGGUUUGGUCAUUGAA